UGCAUUGAUGAUUCAAUGGACUAGAGUCUCUGAUGAAAACAUGAAGCUGUACACAUUUCUCUGAGCA